rnacentral:misc_RNA from 1 species
AAUUCCCCGGCAUUUUGCAGUGGAAAAUUUUCAUGGAAUGGAAUAUCUGUAACCACAAUUGCGUAAUAAUAUGUAAUAUUGUGAGAGGGCGGCCAAUUUGAUAGGUCGUCUUCGAUAUAACAAAAAUUUUACAAUGGUGAAGUAAGUAUCUUUUUUGAUUAAAUUGAAUAAUGUUGAAAGCGUAUCGAGCGAUAAAGUAACGCCGGACAGGCGUCUAGUCGUUACGUUAAAAUGUACUUUAGAAGGAAAAAAAUCGAUCGUUCCGUUUCGGAACGGUGAAUAUAUGAAGGAUAUUAAUCGUUUUAAUACAGUUAAGGAAAAUUUGUAACUAUAAAACCUAGACAUAAAAAAAUAGGAGGACAGACAAGGAGAGAAAAGGGCAGACUGUGAAUUAUAUAGACAUAUUGUUGUUAUGGCUGUUUAUUUGUCGUCAUUAGAAAAACGGUUUAUUAUUACCGUCGUUAUCCCUUUCAAUACUAUAGAUAAACUUUAAAAUAGGGAGUAGUUAAAGAAAAUAAUGAAUUUUUAAGAAAAGGGGAGGGGAGAAAAAAAUUCUUACGUUUAAUUCUCCUUACAAAAAAAAAUUUUGCGUCAGAAUGUAGGCCUAAUUCAUCAGAGUAAAAAAAACGAGCUCGGCUUGUUUCGUCGACACGUUUUAAAAAGCUUAUAACAUAUUCGAUCCUCGCUUUUGAACACCAAAAAUAUAUACAUUCCGUUUGUAGGCUUACAUUAUUUAGUAAAUUUUGUUGCAAGGUUUUCAAUUGUAUACCUAAUUCUGUACGAGUCGUUGGAAUCUAAAGAGUCUCUUCUAUAAAUUAUAGGCUGUUGAUGUUAAAAAUCGUUUGUUUACUUAAAUGUGAAUUUUCAACGUGUAUUUUUUUUCUUUAAAAAGAUCUUCUUCCGGUAUUCAAUAUGCUGAAGGAGGUGAAAAAAAUGGCAGUUGGAGGGGUGAGAAGCACUUUAAACAAGUAACGAUUAUUGACAGAACAAUGGAGAAUUGUGAACGUCAUAAUUGUAGUAGAAAGCCGGCUCAAAGCCUUAGCUUUCAUGAAUCGUGGGACAGAACUUUGCCGAAUUCAUCUAAAUCGAAAGACAGUGCUGAAAAUAGUAGUACAAUACAAAAUGAACAAAAGGAAACUAUUAAUCAGUUAAUAUGAAACACUCUACUCCGGUACACAACUAACAUGCAUAUCUUUUUCAGAGUAGAAGAAAGCAUCGAAAACCCAUUCAAGAGCGACGGAGAAUUAUCGAAAAUAGCUGAUUAUAUUAUGGAACAUUCGACGAUAUGUCGAACAAGCGUUAACAUAGCAGAUCCGGAUGAGAGUAGGGUGAGUGAGAUUCCUGCAACUUCAGUUGAAGAACCUGCUUUACAAGCCGCUCAACACCUUGUUCAACAAUCGGCUCCAAAAGCAUCCCCCCAGCAAGUUGAAGUAAAACUCUUAAAAAUUGAGAGCAACGACGGACCGCAAUCUGCGGAACGUUUACCCCCAAAAGGGAAAUGCUGCUCUCUUCAGUGAUAAAUUUGCUUAUAAUUAUAUACAAUUUUUUCUUCUCCCUGACAAACUAUGAUCAAAGCAUAAUUGACGCUGGUAUUAUAUGCUUCUAAAGUAUAUACUGUAUAGGAAAACAAAUAUAUAGCUAUAAAUAUACAUUUAUGUUUCUAAAUAUAUGCAUAAAUUUCUAUAUAUAUAUACACCUUACAUUAAUAGUUUGUCAAUAAAUCCUUCUUACUCCCUCACUAGUAUUAUGAUUAUUAUUAUUCAAUUGAGCGAUUUUGCUAUUUGUUUAGCUGCUUUGUUUUUUCCUUAAAAUAUAAAUUGUAUGUAUUUGAAUGCUUAAUUUUAGCCUGCUGAAAGUUAAUGUAACAGAUUCAGACUGGAUUGUGUCGUAGGCCAACUA